UGGGGAAUUUUGGACAAUGGGCGCAAGCCUGAUCCAGCCAUGCCGCGUGCGGGAAGAAGGCCUUCGGGUUGUAAACCGCUUUUGUCAGGGAAGAAAUCUUCUGAGUUAAUACCUCGGGAGGAUGACGGUACCUGAAGAAUAAGCACCGGCUAACUACGUGCCAGCAGCCGCGGUAAUACGUAGGGUGCAAGCGUUAAUCGGAAUUACUGGGCGUAAAGCGUGCGCAGGCGGUUUUGUAAGACAGAGGUGAAAUCCCCGGGCUCAACCUGGGAACUGCCUUUGUGACUGCAAGGCUUGAGUGCGGCAGAGGGGGAUGGAAUUCCGCGUGUAGCAGUGAAAUGCGUAGAUAUGCGGAGGAACACCGAUGGCGAAGGCAAUCCCCUGGGCCUGCACUGACGCUCAUGCACGAAAGCGUGGGGAGCAAACAGGAUUAGAUACCCCUGGUAGUCCACGCCCUAAACGAUGUCAACUGGUUGUUGGGAAGGUUCCUUCUCAGUAACGUAGCUAACGCGUGAAGUUGACCGCCUGGGGAGUACGGCCGCAA
rnacentral:rRNA from 1 species